rnacentral:rRNA from 1 species
ACUUGCGGAAGGAUCAUUG